CCAGAAGUUAGAACACAAAAUAUCUUCAAUAAAAUGUCGCUAUCAAUUAUACUCGUCAAAAUAAUUUUCAUACCAAAGAAUAUGCAAUACAAUUGCUGUCAGAAACAAUGUAAUUGAAUACUUGCAUGAUGAGAUUUGCUUCGUGUAUCUUAUGUUCAGGGUGAAGCCCUCAUUCAAUAAGAAUGAAAAAGUUGCAUGGCUUAACAAGCCCAACUGAAGCAAACCCAUAUAUCAAGCACUUAAUAUCAAAUGAAUAUGUGUUCCCCUGGCCUGCAGAUGACUCAAGCUGGUAACUGUAGCUUUACAUUGUUCUUCCAGCUUUGGAAAUAAUAAUAGAAAAAAUCAGCAUAUAGUAAUGUCUGAACAAUUCCUGAUGUCCAAGCUGCAAGAGAAGAAAAAAUUAUGAAAAUGGCAAUCAGUUAAAUAAAUAAUAUUACGCAUUAAAGCAUAUUCCUUAAAGUGCAUGCACAUGCACCAUUGGAGGGAGAGGAGGAGUGAGGGAGGCAAGGGGUACGCAAGACAUACUUAUCCAUUGGACAUAGUGUUCCUCAGUAAAGUAGCGAUAGAUCCAGUUUAAUAUAUAGAGUGCUCUGUAUGCCCUGCAUUCGAACUCAGAAGUGGAUAGGUUAAGAACAUUAAUCUCUUUAAACAUUUAAAGAAUUCCAGAUUUUUUUUUCAUCCCUCUCAUGACAACUCAACAUAAUCUUUAAAAGUUUUUCUAAUGGUAAUUCCCAUUUCCUUGGGGAAAUUCAGUUUUGUUGGGUGAGAAGAAAAUAUAUAUAUAUAUAUAUGUUCUUUGAAGUAAUAUGAAGAGAUGACAGGUAUGGGCAAGCACUAAAGAGAAAUAUAAACUCUUCAACAUAAAAUUAAAUACAUAAAGAUGCAUAAUACAAUAGCUAAAUACCCGAGGAGAAAGACAUAUUGUCCUGUUAAGUUAUCAAUGUUUCUUGUUUUUUGCAGCAAAACAAGCUGAGGAAGUAUUGCGACAGCUUCCAAAUACAAGGAAAAUGUCCACAUUACCUGCUCAAGCAUAAUUUUGGAAAUAAAAAUGAGACAAUAUGACCAAAAAGAAAAAUAUAGCCUUAUUAAUUUCUCAUUAGAGGUACAUCAAAGAUACAAAUAAAUUGCCCCAACCGUCCCUCAACUUAGGUUAUUUCAUUUUAGUCACUUAACUUCAAUUUGUUAAUAUAAAAUCCUUCAACUUUAGUUUUAUUUUAGAAAAAGUCUCUUUAACUUACAAAAGCAGGUUUCCAGAUUCUUUUUUAACACUAAAUUAAUAUUUAAUCA
rnacentral:misc_RNA from 1 species